rnacentral:rRNA from 1 species
UAAGGUAACGGCUUACCAAGGCUUUGAUGUUUAGGGGUCCUGAGAGGGUGGUCCCCCACACAGGUACUGAGACACGGACCAGACUCCUACGGGAGGCAGCAGUGAGGAAUAUUGGUCAAUGGGCGCAAGCCUGAACCAGCCAUCCCGCGUGCAGGAAGACGGCCCUAUGGGUUGUAAACUGCUUUUCCGAAAGGCGAAACUCAGCGACGUGUCGUUGAUUGACGGUAUUUCGGGAAUAAGCAUCGGCUAACUCCGUGCCAGCAGCCGCGGUAAUACGGAGGAUGCGAGCGUUAUCCGGAUUCAUUGGGUUUGAAGGGUGCGUAGGCGGACUAAUAAGUCAGUGGUGAAAUCCUGCAGCUUAACUGCAGAACUGCCAUUGAUACUGUUAGUCUUGAGUUUGGUUAAGGUAGGCGGAAUGUGUAAUGUAGCGGUGAAAUGCUUAGAUAUUACACAGAACACCAAUUGCGUAGGCAGCUUACUGGACCGACACUGACGCUGAGGCACGAAAGCGUGGGGAUCGAACAGGAUUAGAUACCCUGGUAGUCCACGCCGUAAACGAUGAUUACUCGCUGUUGGCGAUACACAGUCAGCGGCUAAGCAAAAGCAAUAAGUAAUCCACCUGGGGGAGUACGGCCGCAAGGUUGAA